AGACCCCGCCUUCGGGCGGGUGACAGUGGCGAAAGGGCGAGGAAUACGCUCCUAAUGUACCCCGAGGUGGGGGAUAGGUCAGGGAAACUUGGCGUAAUACCCCAUGUGCUCUGCGGAGGAAAGGUUUCGGCCGCCUCGGGAGCAGGGAGCGUCCUAUCAGGUAGUUGGUGAGGUAACGGCUCACCAAGCCGAAGACGGGUAGCGGGUGUGAGAGCAUGACCCGCCGCAUCGGGACUGAGACACUGCCCGGACUCCUACGGGAGGCUGCAGCGACGAAUCUCCCGCAAUGCGCGAAAGCGUGACGGAGCAAUGCCGCGUGCGGGAUGAAGCGGCUCCGCCGUGUAAACCGCUGUCAGGGGAUAGAAACACUGAUCAUCCCCAAAGGAAGGGCCGGCUAACCUCGUGCCAGCAGCCGCGGUAAUACGAGGGGCCCGAGCGUUAUUCGGAAUCACUGGGCUUAAAGGGUGCGUAGGCGGACACGAAAGCGUCCCGUGAAAUCCCCCGGCUCAACCGGGGAACUGCGGGGCGAACUGCGUGUCUUGAGGCAGGUAGGGGCCGUCGGAACGAUCGGUGGAGCGGUGAAAUGCAUAGAUAUCGAUCGGAACGCCGAAGGAGAAGUCGGGCGGCUGGGCCUGUGCUGACGCUGAGGCACGAAAGCGUGGGGAGCGAACAGGAUUAGAUACCCUGGUAGUCCACGCCCUAAACGAUGCGCACUAGACCGGGGCGGUUUCGAAGCCGUCUCGGUCGCAGAGAAAUCAUGAAGUGCGCCGCCUGGGGAGUACGGUCGCAAGGCUAAAACUCAAAGGAAUUGACGGGGCUC
rnacentral:rRNA from 1 species